CAACAUAAAACAACCUGCAAUGUAAUUACACGAGACGGGCAAAGGCGACUCUUUGUUUCCACUGGAGCUGGCCUUCGUCAGACGUCGGGAGACGAACCGAGUUGACGUUUGUCUUUCAGUCUCUUCUCUUUUUUUUUUUAUCUUUUUGGAAUAUUAGUUUUAAUGACACCGGGCCAGGUAUCACAUAUCUUUAUACACCCCCGUCCCUAUGCCUUAACCUUCUAAGGAAGUUGUAAAAACAAGAGGGGGGAAGGGAGAAAUAAUUUUUUGUUUAGUUGCAGCAUAGAAAAUAAAAACGAAAGAAAGAAAAGAUCGUGGGAGCCGUUUCAGAAAAAGGGCAGCGAAGGUGGCGCAGAAGGAAACGCGACUCCUGCGGGUAUAUACCGGUGUAGGUGAAUACACACACACCAGCACAUGCAGCCGCUACAUAGACAGAGGCUCUCUUUCCUGCACUUCAUUUCCGUGUAAACCGCAACGGUAUGCGGAUUGCCUGAUUUCUUGCGUGCCUCGUCGACAUUCCGAUAUUUAUUGAUUAUCCUAUACUUCAUUAAAUAAAACAAAAAUCUGAAUAUGCAAUCCAAUGAGCAUUUUUUUUUUUUUACGACAUCACGAGCAAGUAAGACGGCUCGGAGUGCAAGACAGGUUUCGAUUUUUGCUCAUAAUUCCGCAUUAAAUUCGAUAUUAAUCUUGUAGUGAACGUUAAUACAAAACAAAAAUUGUUCUUGUUUGUUCUAUCAACUUUUUCACGACCGGGCGUGGAAGCCAAGCAGCAUUCACGGCC